GUGCUCACUUCAGCAGCACAUAUACUAAAAUUGGAACAAUAAGAAAAGACUAGCAUGGCCCCAGCACAAGAAUAACCUGAAAAUUCAUGAAGUGUUCCUUAUUUAU
rnacentral:snRNA from 1 species